UACUACUCUUCCAUCUGCUUUUUCCCCUCCUUUGCUAUCUCACACACAUACACAAUCACUUAUGUAAAGUCACUCAGGACAGGAAGAAUCCAACAAUAACUGUUAUUAGCACUGCAAAGGAAAAAACAUUGCUGGUUCUCCUUGGAAAUCUUCCUGAAUGGAUACCUGCAUGGCAACCUCGGCACAACAUGAUGGUUGUAACCCAGUUUGGAGUGGAACUGUGAAAGAGGAAUUCACAACACAAAGCCAUCUCCACGCUGGCAAGCAAUCUCAGAAGAAAAGACAAGAAUUGGCAGGCCUGAAAAGAAAACCACCUUUCUCACCUUUACUGGAAAAAACAGGGCUGUUAGCUCUGCUCUGAUAAAACAUAGAAAAAUCAUUGAGUAACAGUGCCCUUACAAAAGCCAGUGCUGGUGGUGUACAUCUGCUGAGGAUGAAUUUGAGAUCAUGUUUCAUCUAGUAAAGCAAAAUACAGAAACACAAGGUGUCGUUUUUGGACUCUGUGACCUAAGACUUUGAAAGUCUACACCUUGCCUGCUGGAAACUGCUCUGCUGUGGUCUGCCUUGCAAACAAGCCUUGAAAAUUUCCAGACCCCAUUCACCAAGUAUUUACAUCAGCAUGCAUCAGGAAUGUCUCAGUUGCAUUCCCCGUCUCUAACACGUGUGGGCUCAGCUGAAGGCCACAUCUGAAAAACCUGAUGUUUCCAAAAGAGCAAAGAUCUUAUCAAAGACUGACACAAAUUUUUCUGCCUCUGUCAGAGGUAUGUGAUAGACUCCCAGAAAGAAAGCAGGCACAAACUUAUUUCUGAAACACCCAGCCACCCUUACAGCCCACACUCUGCAAGAUGCCCCAUCCUGGAAGCAGACUGCUGGGUUGACACUGGUGUUCCUGUCACACAAGAACAUGGGCAACAUAGACAAGAAAGGGAAAUGCCCCAGCUUGUGUUGUUGCAAAACGAGACAGAAUGUGAGCAAAGAUGCAGCUGGCUACCUGAAAAGAGAAAAACAUAGCUCUUCCUAUCCCUGGCCAUUUAGUGCACUUCAGACAAAUAUGUGUAAUGCCAUAUUACAAUUCAAGUGACCAAUCUAUAUUCUUCAUUUUUUCCCAAACAAUUUCCCUUCCUUCUUCCUUCUCAAGGUGUCCUUAAACAGUCAAGCAAAAUGAAGAACCUUUUCCAACCUCCCGCGAAUAAGUAACUUUAUGUAUUAAAUUAUACUGCCAUCAAUUAUUAGAUGAAGAUUGUAAUUAAAUAUUACAAUGAAGAAUAUUAU
rnacentral:lncRNA from 1 species